UGCUGACGAGUGGCGGACGGGUGAGGAAUGCAUCGGAAUCUGCCUGUUUGUGGGGGAUAACGCAUGGAAACGUGCGCUAAUACCGCAUACGUCCUUUUGUCGGGAGAUGAUUGGAGAAAGUGGGGGACCUUCGGGCCUCACGCGAACAGAUGAGCCGAUGUCGGAUUAGCUGGUUGGUGGGGUAAAGGCCUACCAAGGCGACGAUCCGUAGCUGGUCUGAGAGGAUGAUCAGCCACACUGGAACUGAGACACGGUCCAGACUCCUACGGGAGGCAGCAGUGGGGAAUAUUGGACAAUGGGGGCAACCCUGAUCCAGCCAUGCCGCGUGUGUGAAGAAGGCCCUUGGGUUGUAAAGCACUUUUGUUGGGGAAGAAAUGUCUUCGGUUAAUACCUGGGGAUGCUGACGGUACCCAAAGAAUAAGCACCGGCUAACUUCGUGCCAGCAGCCGCGGUAAUACGAAGGGUGCAAGCGUUACUCGGAAUCACUGGGCGUAAAGGGUGCGCAGGCGGCCUGCCAAGUCUGAUGUGAAAGCCCUGGGCUCAACCUGGGAACGGCAUUGGAAACUGGUGGGCUGGAGUACGGUAGAGGGUGGUGGAAUUCCUGGUGUAGCAGUGAAAUGCGUAGAGAUCAGGAGGAACAUCCGUGGCGAAGGCGGCCACCUGGACCAGUACUGACGCUGAGGCACGAAAGCGUGGGGGAGCAAACAGGAUUAGAUACCCUGGUAGUCCACGCCCUAAACGAUGCGAACUGGAUGUUGGGGGCAUAUUGGCCCUUCAGUGUCGAAGCUAACGCGUUAAGUUCGCCGCC
rnacentral:rRNA from 1 species